AGACAAACACGACCAAAAACUUUUGAAUAUGCUCAAUCUAGCAGCUUGCAGAGCACUGGCACAAUACUGGAUAAAACCAGAGACACCCCCAAUAUCUCUAGUAAUUUCCAAAAUCAGAGAUAAUUACUUAACGGAACACUACCACCACAUUUCAAAAGGUAUGGGCCCUUUGGGAGCAAUAUGAUGAAAAAUCAUAAGACAAAUGAG